CGGCGUGCUAUCAUGCAAGUCGAGCGAACCUUUUAGAGCUUGCUCUUUAUUAGUUAGCGGCGGACGGGUGAGUAACACGGUGGGCAACCUGCCUGUAAGACUGGGAUAACUCCGGGAAACCGGGAGCUAAUACCGGCAUAAUUUUUAUCAACCGCAUGGUCUCAAAAAUGAAAGAUGGCUUUGCCUUCCCCUUUCCGAUGGACCCGCUCCCUCGUUAACGAAUUGGCUUAGGAAACGGCCACCACGGCAACGAUGCGAAACCGACCUGAGAGGGUGAUCAGCCACACUGGGACUGAGACACCGCCCAAACUCCUACGGGAGGCAGCUUUAGGGAAUCUUCCCCCAUGGGCGAAAGUCUGACGGAGCAACCCCGCGUGAGUGAAGAAUGUCUUCCGAUCGUAAAA
rnacentral:rRNA from 1 species